rnacentral:rRNA from 1 species
GACAGAGGUGCCAAGCGUUAGGCGGAAUCACUGGGCUUAAAGCGUGUGUAGGUGGAUUUGUAAGUACCUUGUGAAAUCCCAUGGCUCAACCAUGGAACUGCUCGGUAUACUGCGAAUCUUGAGCCACUUAGGGGCUACCGGAACAAAUGGUGGAGCGGUGAAAUGCGUAGAUAUCAUUUGGAACGCCAAUGGUGAAAACAGGUAGCUGGGAGUGAUGCUGACACUGAGACACGAAAGCCAGGGGAGCGAAACGGG